AGAGUUUGAUCCUGGCUCAGGACGAACGCUGGCGGCGUGCUUAACACAUGCAAGUCAAGGGGGCCCAGCAAUGGGCAACCGGCGAACGGGUGCGUAACACGUGAGCAACCUACCGAACUGUGGGGGAUAGCCGGCCUAACGGCCGAGUAAUACCGCAUACGCUUUCUAAAAGGCAUUUUUUGGAAAGGAAACCUACGGGACAGAUCGAGGGGCUCGCGGCCUAUCAGCUAGUUGGCGAGGUAAUGGCUCACCAAGGCUACGACGGGUAGCUGGUCUGAGAGGAUGGCCAGCCACAUUGGGACUGAGAUACGGCCCAGACUCCUACGGGAGGCAGCAGUGGGGAAUCUUGCGCAAUGGCCUAACGGCUGACGCAGCGACGCCGCGUGUGGGAUGAAGCUCCUCGGAGUGUAAACCACUGUUGCCCGGGACCAAUAGCUCGAUUAAUCGAGCCUGACGGUACCGGGUGAGGAACCACCGGCUAACUCCGUGCCAGCAGCCGCGGUAAUACGGGGGGUGCGAGCGUUGUCCGGAAUCACUGGGCGUAUCGGGCGCGUAAGUGGUUUGUUGAGGGUG
rnacentral:rRNA from 1 species